AAUGGUUUGGAACCAUUUGCACAACUGCAAGCUCCUUACCAUGCGCAACAUCCCACACUCAUGCCUUUCUCCACGUCACAAACAAGCUAUACACGUGCUUACCCUGAUCAGCCUUCAGCAGCAGCAGCACAGCAGGCCCAACUUCAGUUGCCUGCUCAUCUCACCAGCCCAUAUUGCAUUCCCCAUGCAAGUUCUAAGGCCUUGACAAAGCAGCCACAGCAUCAGCAGCAGCAGCAGCUUUGGGCCGCUCAGUUGGCAGCUCAAUACAGGAAUACUGCAACUUCAACAGCCAUGACUCAGUUUCCAAGCUGGCUAAAUGGGAGGCAAGAAUCGCCUGGGCUAAUGCCCUGUAUUCCUUCUUUGCCUUCAAGUUCAACACUGGAAGUACUAGGCCCCAAGUAUCCUCACAUCUCUCAGCAGCAGCAGUUCAUGGCCAUGACUUUGCCGCAUGCAAGGAUGAAGAGGCAAGAUCACCAAAUUCCUUCUGUUUAUGAAGAAAAUGGAGUUGGGUUUCGAGCUGGUGGUGGCGCAUUGCCAUUGCAAUUACUCUGCAAUGAGCAACUGUGAAAGGAAUGGAGUAAAGAGCUGUUACAAUCAGACGAUGGACACAGACAGUAACGUUAUUUUAUUCUUUACUCUGUUAAAGCUUGUGACUCAUUGCUCCAUUUGGGCAUGGUCAAAAGGUAAAUAACGAUCUAAGGUGUAGCUGGUGCAUCAAAAUAACAUGGGAAGAAGUGGAGCCUGGGAAAUCAGAUGCCUCUCAGCGCAUUAAAAUAUAUCAGCCGACAGAGAUGGUUUGCAGAGAGAAUUUUGUGGCAUCCUCAUAUUUAGCUCAUUUUAAGUCGGUCUUGCCAAUUUACACAGAAAAUAGAAAGAAACUUGCUUAUGCCCAGGCUUCCUGCCUCUGAUCAUACAUUCUUAACCCUCUUCUUCGCAUGUAUGAUUUUUAUCCACUUGUAUUUUACACGGUUAGCAGUUGGAUAUUAGUUAUUUACGCACAGUAAGACAAGGGAGGAAACAAAAUAACAGCUGCAUGGGGAAAGGGACCCAAGAACUUAUUUGCCCUUGCAAGUGACGUACAUUUUCAUUGCCCUAAAGAUUGGCCUGAUACUCUCACCUGAUAAGAGAACAAGCUCAAGUACGAAUUGUGGACCUUAAAAGUAUAGUACUCUUAAUGAUAAUACAUUAAAUGUUAUCGCACGCCUUCUUGUCCAUACUGGAAUGGCAGAUGCCAUAUAGUAAAUGAAACCCUAUGUUUCAUUUCAUGCCAUCCCCUCUGGACCCACUUGUAUGGAAGUUUUCUCUCCCUGAUACCCAGAAUAGGAAAAAUUCAACAUUUCACUUGAAAUCGAACUUUUUCAUAUCCUUCGUUGAUUAUUAAAGAAUAAAGUUUCGAUGAUUAGCACCAUUGUUCCAAACACCAAGGGAGAUGCAUAUGUGGAAAUUUCCGCCUUGAUUUUCAAAUAUUACAAGCGAAGUAAUGGUUUUACCAAAUGAACAAACGAAUAAAUGCAGAACCAGAACAAAACAAAGCUGGGCGGAAGAACAAGGAAAAAUGAAAUCUCUAAAUGCUCUAACUACAGAACGUGUUUACUCGAGCUUCUCCAAUUCCCCCAUUCUCUCUAUGAUUGCCUUCUUGCUUGUUUCUUGGAGUUCCCCAGCAAGAAUGAAUUCAUCAAGUAUCAAAUAAACCUGUAAAGCCACCAGGUUAAUCAGCACACAUUGCAACAAAGAAUACUUUUUUUCUUCUUUUCGAAUCAACAAAGGAUACAUAGAUCCAUUUGUAAGGUGAAAACACAUGCCCAUAAUCUGUGUGCGCACACAAAAGACUAAAUUGCAGAAGAUGGAAUGCAAUAUGCAUCUAUCUAUUGUAACUCUUACAGAAAUAAUAAGAAGCAAAAAACUAAGCCUAGUUACAACUAGUAAUGCUAAUGUGUGCAUGUUUCUUCUAAUUGGAUGAUAUUUCAAAUAUGCAUAGCUCUCAAGGAACUUUGGUCAACACCAUUACAAGAAUAGAUCAAAACAAAUUAACCAGUAAGGCAAGAUUUACAUGAGGCAUGAGAAGAACAAGAAAAAAUAUUGGUACGCUACAAAAAAAAUUCCAAAACAGAAGAUGUGCAUAGAGCACAAAAUCAAAUGUGUAAACAAGAAAAAUCAAGGUGUUGACAAACCUUGUGAAAGUUGAAUACCAAAUCUAGCUCACAAACAUUGCUGAAGAAAUGAUCCAAUAUCUCCACAAAUAAAUGGAUGCACUCUAAAUAUGCCAAUUCAUUAUCUGUUAUAUCAACACACAGUGAGAAAAAUAAUCCAGCAUACCGCCUGUAGAUGACCUUGUGUGUUCGGAACUGCAAGAAAAAGUAUUUAUCAUGGAAACAAGACAAAAUAUUCAGAAGAUAUUACCAAAAAGAUGACAAAACAAGAUACUUUAAAUUGUUCAAGCUAGACAAAACAAUUUAAUAUAAUGAGGACCAGGAAGUCCUGUUAACCAUAGGAACAGUUAAUGCUAAAAGAAACACCAUAACAUAAAGAACACGCCAUCUAAUAUGCAACCAGUGGUGAAUAUGAAAAAAAUUUUCAGAGGUCAACAUAUAAAAAAUUUUCUAGGUACAAGUUUUUUUUUAUUUAUUUUUUCAAAUAAAAGGAGGGUCGGUUGACUUCCCAUUUGCAGAAAUUCAUCUGUCAAUAAAAAAAAAGGGGGUCAAUAUAUAUAUAUAUAUACACAUACACACACACACACACAUAUAUAUGAGUAAUUUUAAGAGGUCAAUUGACCUCCCAUUUGUGGUAGUACAUCCGCCCCUGUAUGCAAUCCACGCAAAGCUGGUACCUGUAUUUCCAACCUCAAUCUGAAGAAGAAGAUGCAAUAAUAGGAAAGCUAAGGAAUUCUCGAGAUCAAUAUGUUUGAAGUAAAACAAAGUAAUGCAUGUAAAGUGACUAGUGAAAUCAUUCUAACAUAAUCUGUCCCCGUCAGGGGUUGGGUUGGGCCUUAAUCUUGAAAUACUACAGCAUACCAUGGACUAGAAAAUUUUCUCAGAAUUUUUGAGGAACAAGUAGCAGCAACUAAAAUAUCUACAAAUGGAGUAAAGAUUACAGAAAAAUGGUUCCAGCCCAAGAAGUACAUGGACAAAACUGGAGUUCUGAAGCAAUUAGUAGCAGAAAACGCAAUCUUGAAGAGCACAAAUUCUUUAAAUAGGCUAAUUAAUUCACUCCACUAUAAAUCCAUGUCAACUAGCAAAGUAAUUGGGCUAUGUUCGUUUAGCUAGUCACUUCUAUUUAAUCAAGUGAAAAGGUGAAAAUUAUAACAAAUUGAUUAUGUUAAUCAUAAAUUUUCUCGCAACUAAACAAGAUUAGGAAAUCACCAACCUCAACAAAAUUCGUGAACUUGGGAUCUCUGUUAACCACCAACCGAUGAACCUCGUAUUCGACUUUGUGUUUCUCGGAAUCCUCGAGAGGAACAUAGUAUUUGGCAAGACGAGUCUUGCCUUGCCUGUUCUGCAGAAGUAUGAAUCGGAUCAUUCUUAUAGAAAGAUCAAAUGAACGAUAAUAGAACAAAAAUUGAGAAUUACGUGCAGAUUCCGUAAAUCUAGGGCACUGCACUUUUUUUCUUCUCUCUAUUUCUUCGUCCAAGCAGAGAGGUGAAAUUGAAA
rnacentral:misc_RNA from 1 species